rnacentral:rRNA from 1 species
UGAAGAAAAAGCAUCGGCUAACUCCGUGCCAGCAGCCGCGGUAAUACGGAGGAUGCAAGCGUUAUCCGGAAUCAUUGGGCGUAAAGGGUCCGCAGGUGGCGAAUAAAGUCUGCUGUUAAAGACCGGGGCUAAACUCCGGAAAGGCAGUGGAAACUGAUUAGCUAGAGUACGGUAGGGGUAGAGGGAAUUCCCAGUGUAGCGGUGAAAUGCGUAGAUAUUGGGAAGAACACCGGUGGCGAAAGCGCUCUACUAGGCCGAAACUGACACUGAGGGACGAAAGCUAGGGUAGCGAAAGGGAUUAGAUACCCCUGUAGUCUUAGCGGUAAACGAUGGAUACUAGGUGUAGCUUGUAUCGGCCCGAGCUGUGCCGAAGCUAACGCGAUAAGUAUCCCGCCUGGGGAGUACGCACGCAAGUGUGAAACUCAAAGGAAUUGACGGGGGCCCGCACAAGCGGUGGAGUAUGUGGUUUAAUUCGAUGCAACGCGAAGAACCUUACCAGGGCUUGACAUGUCGCGAAUCUAGCGGAAACGUUAGAGUGCCUUAGGGAAUGCGAGCACAGGUGGUGCAUGGCUGUCGUCAGCUCGUGUCGUGAGAUGUUGGGUUAAGUCCCGCAACGAGCGCAACCCUCGCCCUUAGUUGCCAAUAUUAAGUUAGGCACUCUAGGGAGACUGCCGGGGACAACUCGGAGGAAGGUGGGGAUGACGUCAAGUCAGCAUGCCCCUUACGUCCUGGGCGACACACGUACUACAAUGGUUGGGACAAAGGGCAGCAAACUCGCGAGAGUAAGCGAAUCUCAUCAAACCCAGCCACAGUUCAGAUUGCAGGCUGCAACUCGCCUGCAUGAAGUAGGAAUCGCUAGUAAUCGCAGGUCAGCAUACUGCGGUGAAUUCGUUCCCGGGCCUUGUACACACCGCCCGUCACACCAUGGAAGCUGGCUACGCCCGAAGUCGUUACCCUAACCCGGUUUUGGGAGGGGGAUGCCGAAGGUAGAGCUAGUGACUGGGGUGAAGUCGUAACAAGGUAGCCGUACCGGAAGGUGUGGCUGGAUCACCUCCUUU